rnacentral:tRNA from 1 species
GGUUGGAUAGCAUAAAGGGUAAUGCGCUAGAUUGCAAAUCUUGAUAAGAGGGUUCAAUUCCCUCUCUGACCU